CACGUAGGGGGCAAGCGUUGUCCGGAUUUAUUGGGCGUAAAGAGCUCGGUAGGUCAGGUGUGAAACCCUCGGGCUCAACCCGGGGACGCCACCUGAUACUGCCAUGGCUUGAGUCCGGUAGGGGAGCGUGGAAUUCCUGGUGUAGCGGUGAAAUGCGCAGAUAUCAGGAGGAACACCAGCGGCGAAGGCGGCGCUCUGGGCCGGAACUGACGCUGAGGAGCGAAAGCGUGGGGAGCAAACAGG
rnacentral:rRNA from 1 species